AAUCUCGUGCCAGCCACCGCGGUUAUACGAGAAACUCAUAUUAAUAUUUGCGGCCCAAAGGGUAGUUUUAGACACAAUAAAAUAGAAUUUAAAAUUUAUCUAGUGGUUAUAUACAAAUAUAAAAUGUAAAUCCAAAAACGAAAGUUAUACUAUAUAUUCUAGAAUCUACUAAAGCUGAGAAACAAACCGGGAUUAGAUACCCCGCUAUGCUCAACUUUAAAAUGGAUUUCCCGCCGGAGAACUACGAGCCACAGCUUAAAACUCAAAGGACUUGGCGGUGCUCUACACCCACCUAGAGGAGCCUGUUCUAUAAUCGACACCCCCCGAUAAACCUCACCACCUCUUGCCACUACAGCCUAUAUACCACCGCCCUCAGUUCACCCCUCAAAGGAAUAAUAGUGAACAAAAUAAUUAGAAAUAAAAAAGUCAGGUCAAGGUGUAGCAAAUGAAGUGGAAAGAAAUGGGCUACAUUUUUUAAUAAUAAAAAAUACGGAAUAUUACAUGAAACAAAAUAUAAAGGAGGAUUUAGAAGUAAAAAGAAAAAAGAGUGUUCUUUUUAAAUUGGCAAUAGAGCACGCACACACCGCCCGUCACCCUUUUCAAAAAAUAUAAUUUAAAUAAAUAUAUAGAUUUAUAAGAAAAGGUAAGUCGUAACAUGGUAAGUCUACCGGAAGGUGGUCUUGGAUAU
rnacentral:rRNA from 1 species